rnacentral:misc_RNA from 1 species
CCGGUCGGCCUAUGGAACCACCGUUGUGUGCUCCGUGCAUUACGUCGAAGGCAAAUACGCCCUCUUAAUCGGUGUGGGCUUGCACGCACCGGUGGGGCUUGAUAGAAAUUCAAGCCUUGACGCUGUACCCUAACGAGAAAGCGACNAUGACCCGAAGAGACCCUAAUCGUGAAAGAGUUAGGCAGCCUUGACGCUGUACCCUAAUGAGAAAGCGACGAUGACCCGAAAAGACCCAAAUCGUGAAAGAGUUAGGCGAGAGUGUCGGCAARAGUUGGUCGCGCACGUAAAUCCCUCCAACCCGGGAGUAGAUUAUCUUUUGAUAAUCUCAAGCCCGUGAUGACGGUUUCAGGGAUUAUCUUCUUGGAUCGUUGUCAAUCGGGCUUGCUUGGUUACCAAGCUCGUGAUGGGUACUGUUGCUUGCGGGAAACGUUGCUGAAUGGAAUUCAAAUCCUGUAAUUGCUUACCGAUAUGCGCGUGUCCGGACCGGUCUCUCAUGCCUCGUUAGUGAUUUGAAUCCAUAACUUUGCAAGAAGGGACUCGUUUCUUUAGGUGACUUGAUCUGACGAUGAUGUUACCGUGCGUAGAUUAAGCUUUGCUUUAGAUCUAUUGCGUACAUGCGUAGAUUAAGCCUUGCUUUUGAUCUAUGGCAUAACUAUGGAGUUGUUCGGUCUUUGUUGCGCGAGCAACAUGAGGGACCGGUUCCUUCUACGCGGAUAUACGUAAGCAAGYGAUGAUGCAACCGUUCUUACUUGUGACGGUACCCCAUGGACCCUUCCUGAUGGACCCUUCCCGGUGGACCCUUCCUGAUGACGGUUUAAUUUCCUGAUUUUCCCAUCGUUCGGGGCAUUUUGGGGCUGUUUUGGCUAUUGGUUGCUUGUUUGGUCUUGAGCCGAACAGGUGGCUUCUAGCCUGGUGGCUUCGGGGAUGUUGUCCGUAAAGGUGGAUGAGUGGUUUGGUGUUUGGAACCCAAACAAGGACCCUUCCUGAUGGACCCUUCCUGAUGACGGUUUAAUUUCCUGAUUUCCCAUCGUUCGGGGCAUUCUGGGGCUGUUUUGGCUAUUGGUUGCUUGUUUGGUCUUGAGCCGAACGGGUGGCUUCUAGCCUGGUGGCUUCGGGGAUGUUGUCCGUAAAGGUGGAUGAGUGGUUUUUGGUUUGUCACGUGUGGUUGGCUGCGGCGUUUGCAACAACUUCCAUGCUUUCAGACCUCUUCAGUUGUGCGGCAAGGCUUGUAUCGCCUUGCCGUAUUGCGGGUUUUCUGUGUUGAAUACCUAAUCAAUGGUAUCGGUUGGAUUGAUCAAUGUUUCAUUUCGUCUGUCGUCGCAUUCGUGGCGUGAGACGAACCUUGAUGCGGUCUCUUUGGUCCACCUCGGCGAAGCACAUGCUUUGACGUUGUGGCACAUUGAGCGUUGCUUGGUCUCUUGUAUACGGAACAUAUAGUGGGCACGGAUCUAACGAUUCUUCUUUGCCCUCAUGUUAGCAUAACGCUUCUCUUACACGACUUGCUCC